GUUUCGGGCGGCCAUGGCCAAUUUUCGGCAGGAUUUUACCCCAGUGAAAAAGGCUUGUAAUCCACAGUGAUCAGCUGAGAUGUUUUUCACUGGAUUAUUUAAUUGAUAGACUUAUUGGGCAUAUAUUUGGAUAUCUCUGGAUCAGCUGAGAUGUUAUUUCACUGGAUUAUUUAAUUGAUAGACUUAUUGGGCAUAUAUUUGGAUAUCUCUGGAUCAGCUGAGAUGUUAUUUCACUGGAUUAUUUAAUGGAUAGACUUAUUGGGCAUAUAGUUUGAUAUCUCUG